AGUUAGGUUGUACCAGAGCCAUAUAGAGAGAGAGUUGCGACAACUCCAUAGACUCCAAUGGAACGGUUUUUUACAGCAAUGGCGGCUCGUGGAGCCUCUCAAUAGUUCCCGGAAGUAGCAGCCGCGCCGUAGAGUUACAGCAGAACAGACCGUUUGUGAUGCACUUUUAAAAGCACAAAGGGGAUUCAGAUCCUGAAGACUCCAUGCAAUGAUGCUGUCACCGCCAGUCUCUGCUCCUUGGAUUUUGCAAGCUUUUCCUUGCUCCUUAUUUUUAAUAAAC